GUCGAUCGACACAAUGAAGUGACAGUCGAUCAUUGUUGAUGAAGUGCUGUCGAAUGAUAGCGACAUGGUCUCACCGGUCGAUGGCUAGAGCAAUCAUUCGACAUGAUGAAGAGACAAUCGAUCGUUGGAUCUGAAGUGCCGUCGAUCGAUAUCAAGCUGGUCUCAUCGGUCGAUGUGAUGAGGAAUCGUCUACUCGGACAAUAUUAGUAGAACCUCCCUCAAACUUAAACAACACUGUGACCAGUGUUAUACAGUCUAAGAUUGGUGGGGAAAUAAACCAUAAGGACAAUAUUUAACAAGGUGAAACGUUAGACCUGAUCGCUGAUGGUGAGCGUCGAUCGAUCGAUACUCGUGAUGCUCUGUCGACCGAUAAUGGCCUGUUGUCGUCGAUCG
rnacentral:lncRNA from 1 species